AGUGAACGCUGGCGGCGUGCCUAACACAUGCAAGUCGAACGGGACUUAGGGGCUUGCUCCUAAGUUUAGUGGCGCACGGGUGAGUAACACGUAGCUAAUCUGCCCUAUGCUGGGGGACAACAGUGGGAUACGACCGCGAAUACCCCAUCCUCCGGUAUUACAUUAGUGAUAUCGGGAAAGUUUUUCGGCAGAGGAUGAGGCUGCGGUCUAUCAGAGAGUUGGUGAGGUGACGGCUCACCAAGGCUCUGGCGGAGAGCUGGUCUGAGAGGAUGAUCAGCCACACUGGAACUGAGACACGGUCCAGACUCCUACGGGAGGCAGCAGUGGGGAAUUUUACACAAUGGGCGCAAGCCUGAUGUAGCAACGCCGCGUGGAGGAUGAAGGAUUUAGGUCUGUAAACUCCUUUUAUAAGGGAAGAAAUUUGACGGUACCUUAUGAAUAAGCACCGGCUUACUCCGUGCCAGCCGCCGCCGUAAGAC
rnacentral:rRNA from 1 species